rnacentral:snRNA from 1 species
UGGAUUUCAGCUCUUUUAGUAUUUGUCCAGCAGGUUAUUUUAAAUUUUAUAUAUUAGAUGACCCAC